rnacentral:rRNA from 1 species
AAUAGAUACCCGGGUAGUCCAUGCCGUAAACGGUGGGCGCUAGGUGUGAGUCCCUUCCACGGGGUUCGUGCCGUAGCUAACGCAUUAAGCGCCCCGCCUGGGGAGUACGGCCGCAAGGCUAAAACUCAAAGGAAUUGACGGGGGCCCGCACAAGCGGCGGAGCAUGUGGAUUAAUUCGAUGCAACGCGAAGAACCUUACCUGGGCUUGACAUACACUGGAUCGGGCUAGAGAUAGUCUUUCCCUUUGUGGCUGGUGUACAGGUGGUGCAUGGUUGUCGUCAGCUCGUGUCGUGAGAUGUUGGGUUAAGUCCCGCAACGAGCGCAACCCUUGUCUUAUGUUGCCAGCAUUUGGUUGGGGACUCAUGAGAGACUGCCGGGGUGAACUCGGAGGAAGGUGGGGAUGACGUCAAAUCAUCAUGCCCCUUAUGUCCAGGGCUUCACACAUGCUACAAUGGUCGGUACAACGCGUGUGCGAUCCUGUGAGGGUGUGCUAAUCGCUGAAAGCCGGUCGUAGUUCGGAUUGGGGU